GUCUGUGCAAGGAGAGCCCCUGUGCCUCUGCCCAGGCCCUGGACUCCCCCAGGGUGGGCCCAGCACAGCCGUCUGUGACCACCAUGCUGCUGUGAAGGGGCCUCCCUGGGCCGCAUCACGUCUGGCCUGGCUCAGGUGCAGCCUGGGACCUGGGCUUGCUCGGAGCCUCCCUGCGCGGCACCCCCAGGUUGCUAACCACAGGUCUUCCCCUCCUGUCAGUCGGUUGUCAGGAGGGCUGGCCCGCCCCUCCGCUGGGGUGCGUUUUCAGUCGGGGGCAGAAUUGCUGCCGGUGUGAGGCGUCGGGCCCUAUCUGCCGUCUGGAGGGCGGGAAGAGAGCACUGCAUAUAGAGUUUUGCUUUUCUUGCUUGUCAGCUGAGACCCUGCCAUCGUGAAAGUGUCCACACUGGCACAACCGCUCCAGCUCCUGCAUCCAGUGUGGGCUGCUGCACAGGACACGGCCGUAGCCCCAGGACAGAGCAGGCUGCUCCCAGCUCCCACUGCUGUAGCUGUCUCCCCUGAUGUGGUUGUCACCUUGGCGUCCUCCAGCCUGGCAGAGCCCAGCUCAUCAGGGUGGCUUCUGCUGGAACCACGGCCGGUCCAAAAGGCUCUUUAAUCACCACUUUAUUCAUUCACGGAACAUCUGCUGAGCCGGGCCUGUCCAGCAUCUGCAGAUCUCCAACUGGAACAUGUGCCCCAGGAAACAAGAGAAGGAUCCCCAAAUAAAAUAUAGAACCCUGGAAUUUCAGAUAAACAACCCAUCGUUGUCGGCCCAUCAGCAAGAGCUUCCUCCCCACCUCUGUGAGUUUAAUUGCUAGGAGGCUUCAUGGGAAGUGGAGGAGCGUGUACUGUCACCCGCGUGCUCCACCUCUGGGCAUUUGUUAAUGCAGAGAAGACAUCAGGUCAUAUACCAAGCAGAAGGCUGAGAGACGGGAACAUAACGGGAAUUACUCCAGAAGAAAAUAAUUCCUCCCUCAAAGUCCUGUACAAAUGUCGUGUCCCUCCCACCUGCCUUGUCACCCAGGUGCCCUGCGGGAGAAGAUUCUGGGUGCUUCUGGAGAUGGAGAUCCAGGGUCCUCGAGGGCCCAGCUUUGCUGGAGAAGUAGACAGGCCCCCACCGGUCCCCACGCCUGGAGACCGUGCCAAAUUCCAUGCACAUUAAACUCAGCCCAGGGCGUCAGAGGCUCCCCUUCAGCGGCCUCCUCAGAACCUCCCAGACCCGCUGUGGCUGCAGGCCUGGCCCUGGUGUCCUGGAUGGAGGAGCAGAGGCCUGGAGAGCUGACUCUGUGGACACCCCCCGGCCUCACUGCACACCAAGGACAACUUCACACUAACAGCAUCCGUGCAGGGCCGCCCACAGGCCCGGGCAGGGGUGUUACAGUUUCUAGAAGCCCCUGCUUGUGUCUGUUGCCUUUUUCACGCAGACCACUGCACACAGCCCGGUGCCGGCCUCGCUCUGAGGACCAGAUGGGCCGGCCCCGCUCUGAGGACCAGAUGGGCUGUGGCACCCACAUGCACUUCGUGUUGGGCACCCCCACCCCCCACCCCCAGCACCCUGCCUGGAGACACCUGUGAGCCGGUCAGAGGCCCUCCUGGGCACACCCACCUGUCACUUGGAGCCCGCAGGCAGCGGCUCCCACAGCAUGAGCUCACAGACGCAGGGGUGUUUGAGUCAUAGCAACCCACGAAGCUCAAUUCAGCCCCAGGAGAGCAUUUUUAUUUUUGUUGAAAAUAUCCACACCCUUAGUAUUUGGGUUCCCAGAGUCUACAACAUGAGGUCUCCUGG